CCGCGUUUCAUUAGCUAGUUGGUAGGGUAAUGGCCUACCAAGGCAACGAUGAGUAGCUGGUCUGAGAGGAUGAUCAGCCACACUGGAACUGAAACACGGUCCAGACUCCUACGGGAGGCAGCAGUGGGGAAUAUUGCGCAAUGGGCGAAAGCCUGACGCAGCAACGCCGUGUGAGGGAUGAAGGCUUUCGGGCCGUAAACCUCUGUCGGAAGGGAAGAACGGGCAAGGGUCCAAUAGGCCCUUGUUUUGACGGUACCUUUAGAGGAAGCACCGGCUAACUCCGUGCCAGCAGCCGCGGUAAUACGGAGGGUGCAAGCGUUAUUCGGAAUUACUGGGCGUAAAGCGCACGUAGGCCGCUUUGUAAGUCAGGGGUGAAAUCCCACGGCUCAACCGUGGAACUGCCCUUGAAACUGCAGAGCUUGAAUCCUGGAGAGGGUGGCGGAAUUCCUGGUGUAGGAGUGAAAUCCGUAGAUAUCAGGAGGAACACCGGUGGCGAAGGCGGCCACCUGGACAGGUAUUGACGCUGAGGUGCGAAAGUGUGGGGAGCAAACAGGAUUAGAUACCCUGGUAGUCCACACCGUAAACGAUGGA
rnacentral:rRNA from 1 species